rnacentral:rRNA from 1 species
UACAGAGGUCUCAAGCGUUGUUCGGAUUCAUUGGGCGUAAAGGGUGCGUAGGUGGCGCGCUAAGUCGGGUGUGAAAUUUCGGAGCUUAACUCCGAAACUGCAUUCGAUACUGGCGUGCUUGAGGACUGGAGAGGAGACUGGAAUUCAUGGUGUAGCAGUGAAAUGCGUAGAGAUCAGGAGGAAGACCAGUGGCGAAGGCGGGUCUCUGGACAGUUCCUGACACUGAGGCACGAAGGCCAGGGGAGCAAACGGG